UACAGAAGCCUCGAGCGUUGUUCGGAAUUACUGGGCGUAAAGGGAAUGUAGGUGGUGUCGUAAGUCAGAUGUGAAAGCCCCGGGCUUAACCUGGGAACUGCGUUUGAAACUGGGAGACUUGAGUGUGGCAGAGGGGGGUGGAAUUCCACGUGUAGCAGUGAAAUGCGUAGAUAUGUGGAGGAACACCGAUGGCGAAGGCAGCCCCCUGGGUUAACACUGACGCUCAUGCACGAAAGCGUGGGGAGCAAACAGG
rnacentral:rRNA from 1 species